rnacentral:lncRNA from 1 species
AGGAUCAGAAAGUCGGGAGAAGACCCCUAGAAGUCCCAGCUUAGGCUAUGGAGGCUGGGAUACCAGUUUCUCCCUUCACUUCUGCCAGGGACUCUAGAUCAGCCCUGCAUCUCCCCACUGCUAUGGAUACAGAUCAGAAGCCCCCCUGCACUUUCUCCUUUGGUGCACACCUAGUCCCAUGGCAGGCACUGUUGGGAGUCUAUAGGGUCUCCCCAGCUGGCAGUAGACACUCACCUGAAAAGGGGUCUGUUGGGUUUGGCCACCAUAGCCAUUUCCUAUCC